CCCGGGCCCACUCGAUUGUGAGUCGUGUGUGUGUGUGUGUGUGUAGGUAGAUAGAUAGAUAGAUAGAUAAAUGGAUAGACGUAAAGCUAUGUAAAGGAGUGUCACGUGAGUGAGGAGAUUUGAGACCUACGUGGGCUACCACCGGCUUAGACUAAAGGUAACAAUGCUUAUAUAGAACGAUACUCACUGAGAGUGGUUAGUUAGUUAUUGUCUAUUGCAAACAAGGGAGGGAGGAGGAGGGGGGAGUAGGAGGAGGAGGAGGUGAAGUGGAAAGCAGUGAGGCAGAAGGGACCGUUUUCUUCUGCAGGCGUUGUGCAGGUAAGAUGUGUGUGCGCCAAGAAGUGUGUCUGUCCACUGCCUUGUUACGAGUUAAUUAACGUUUGUAAAGUUAUGUGUUGGUCUGGUGUCGUCCCUAUCGUGGUGUUAUUGUUGUUGUAGAUCGUGUUUAGUUGAGGACCUUUAUCCGUUUUUCAUGGAGAGUAUUUAAAAGUUCCAUGUUGCAUUUUAGAGGAUAGGAAGUGUUGCCUGACAUUUCGUGGGACUCUGUGUUUAUUGUGUGUGUUUAUUGUGUUUAGUGUAUUUCUUAACAACUUUGUUGAACGCAGCACAUGCUCACAAUUCAGUUGUGUAGGCGUGUCAAGGACAGGGCUUGGAUGUGCAUUGAUAUAGUAUGGCUGCAAGGUGCUUGGUGUAUCUCGGCCUUUUCUCACUGAGCGGUGGCGCAGAUGUAGGCCUAGCUUUGUCAUGAACCUUUGUAUGAGCUACGUGUAGGAUUUUUCGUGGGUUUUCAUUAUUUUCCUCUUAAGGGUGUUCAGCGUUACUUGUACAUAAUCAAACUCAGGAGUUUGUCAUUAGCUGAGAGAGAGAGAGAGAGAGAGAGUGUACUGUGUGUGUGUAUCCGAACACUAAAGUAAUGCUACCUGAAGCGUUUUGAACUCCCACCUUAGAUUCGAUAUCUGUUUCGAGCGCGUGACUUUAGUGUGUCUGCCGCUACGUGGCAGCUUCCAUCCUACUCGAGGUGGAGGGAGUCUGAACAUCGAUCGGUCUGUGAUUACCCAGCUACCUUCCAUACCAGUCAUAUUUGUAGUCCAGUCUUACCCAGGCCAGAAUCCGUCUUAUCACCAGGUAUCUUACUUUAAAAAUAUCUGUGCAUUCAUAAAUGUCAAGUAAAAUUGUGAUUGUAGAAUCCUGGAAUGACAGAAGUAGGUUCGCAUGUGGUUUUUCUCCAGAGGAAGUGUGGGGAGAAACCCCUAGUGCUAUACAUAUGGUCUGAGAUAGAUGUAGGAUAGGGUAUUCACUCAUUGUUGAGGUAAAUUUGACCCUCCAGGUUGUGUUGGGAGUAGGUGCCCCAGGCUGGGUGACACCAGGUAGGGUUGUUAAGGUUAGUAGGAUAUUGCGUUGUGCAAGGGAGUUGUUGGGUGCCGUGACGCUUCAGCUCCAGUUUCAUAUGUGCUGUGAGCCAGUGUACCAUUAAAUUUAAAACAUCAAUUAAGUGUUUAUAGAAACGUCACGGCACCCCGCAUCUUGUGUGUGUUUAAUGAGUAAUGUUUCUGAGUGUGAGGAAGGCCCUGUGUAAAAGCUUCAAAAUGGCUGUAUAUGUAAGUAUUUUGUGGGAUUUUGUGGGAUGUUCAAUUAUCCAGGGUUGUCACUAUUUGGUGUAGUAUAAGUGUAGGAACAAUACAGUAUUAAGUUUCGGUGUUGUGGUGCACGUGUUGGCUACAGUACCACACGCUAGUAAAGUCCUUAAGUAGUAUACGCAGUUGCAUUUAAUUUGAGGCUAGCCACACUUCAAUCAUGUGUAAUUUGUCCCUGUGUAAUAAAAGGUCAUUGAUUCGGAUAAUGACUUGACAGGAGAUUAAGGAUUUUCUUGAUUGGUGACUUUAUUGUUGCAGCAGUGUAUACAAUAAGGGAGUAGGUUUGGUCAUGCCGGCCAACUCCUGAACAUGGGCAAACGAGUCUCGGGCGUCAGUCUGCAGGAGAUGGAGCACGUCCCGCCAAAAGUCUGACACCGGCUUCCUACAUAUGCACCAUACCAACUUGGUAGUCGCAUCAGUUUCACCGCGCUAACUCCUCAGCUACAGCGGCGCUCGAGUCGGACUUUGUACCCGCUUAAUCAUCUGAGGCUCUGGCAUCCUGCUCCUCAUCUGUGUCCAUGUGAUAGCAGUCCAUCUCCAGGUCUCCCUCUUCAGAAGACCGUGGAUGCGUGCGGUCCGGCACAGGUCUUGCCACUACUGAAGGGAGAACCAAAGCAGCGUCUCCUAACGCCCAACCUGCUGCAGGAAACUAGCACAUCUUGCACUGGAAGACGCCAACUGUUCGCUGCACCUUCCACGGAGGAAUUAGGACCCUGUCCCGCACCAGCUCUGCCCUGACAACUCCUGGUGCCAUCCAGGGACCCUGACUCAAACCAGCUCUGCCCUGACAAUACGUGGUUCCUUCUAGGGAGGGAGGACUCAAACCAGCUCUGCCCUGACAAUACGUGGUUCCUUCUAGGGAGGGAGGACACGCUGUAUCUUCCACGGAGGAAUUGGACCCUACCUCGCACCAGUUGUGCCCCAACAACACGUAGUGCCGCCAUCUAAGGAAGAAGGCCUGCCUCGCUGCACCUUCCACGGAGGGAUUGGAGGCUACCUCGCCUUAAGCUUUGCCCUGGUAACACGUGGUCCCAUCUCGUGUUAUUACUCCUUCCCUGUUCUGUUUUGUACCCACAUAACUGGUGUUGGUACUUCAUAAUAAAGAAAAUUGAUAUUGAUGCUUUAUUUCGGUAAUUUUUUUUUUUUGUACUUUAAGUAUUUAUGAAACAUGCCUAACCUAACCCUACUAGCGCCACAAUAUAUAUAGUUCUAGGUUUUCAAAUAAAAACUUUAAUAAU